CUGAAAACCAAACCAGUUCACCUUUAUAUUAUUUUUGUUCAAAAUAGGUAUUAGUCUUAUAAUAGUGUAUUUAGUGUUUAGACUCUAUGAAAUUCUUGAGAGUUGCUGCAUGCUUUAAUCUCACUUGUAACGUCUGUAUUCCGUGCUAUAAGGAGAUAUGAAAGUUUUGCUUUAUAAUUUU